rnacentral:rRNA from 1 species
UCGGAUUGAAGGCUGAAAUUCGCCUUCAUGAAGCUGGAAUUGCUAGUAAUGGCAGGUCAGCAUACUGCCGUGAAUACGUUCCCGGGCCCUUGUACACACCGCCCGUCACACCAUGAGAGUUGGGAAUACCCGAAGCCUGUGAGCUAACUUAUAGAGGCAGCAGUCGAAGGUAGAAUCAAUGAUUGGGGUGAAGUCGUAACAAGGUACC